rnacentral:rRNA from 1 species
GAUGAACGCUGGCGGCGUGCCUAAUACAUGCAAGUCGAGCGAACAGAUGAGGAGCUUGCUCCUCUGACGUUAGCGGCGGACGGGUGAGUAACACGUGGAUAACCUACCUAUAAGACUGGGAUAACUUCGGGAAACCGGAGCUAAUACCGGAUAAUAUAUUGAACCGCAUGGUUCAAUAGUGAAAGACGGUUUUGCUGUCACUUAUAGAUGGAUCCGCGCCGCAUUAGCUAGUUGGUAAGGUAACGGCUUACCAAGGCAACGAUGCGUAGCCGACCUGAGAGGAUGAUCGGCCACACUGGAACUGAAACACGGUCCAGACUCCUACGGGAGGCAACAGUAGGGAAUCUUCCGCAAUGGGCGAAAGCCUGACGGAGCAACGCCGCGUGAGUGAUGAAGAUCCUCGGAUCGUAAAACUCUGUUAUUAGGGAAGAACAAAUGUGUAAGUAACUAUGCACGUCUUGACGGUACCUAAUCAGAAAGCCACGGCUAACUACGUG